rnacentral:lncRNA from 12 species
UAUGUAGCAAAAUUAGGUAAAAUAGUUGUUAUCUUAAAUAGUACAAUCUUCAAUCCUGGGCUCGAAGCGCGCCAGUGUGUUCACAAGCGCGCCACCAACACCUACACUUUCCACGCACGCUAUUGGAUGAAGGCAACAAAUACGUCAUGCAGGUCGGACCCCACACAUAGCUGCUUGCUCUAUUCGCCGGGAAAAUAACCUGGAGAAAUUAACCAAUAUUAUAGUAAUGGAUAAAGUGUGUGAGUGGCAACAAUUUUUAUUUGCUUUGUUGAAAAGCAUAGUGUUUACAUAUAAAAAACUGCGUUAUCCCUCACCACAGAUUGUUUGAAAACACCAGACAUGGGGACUUGUGACUUGUGACUUGACUUGACAAAAAAUAAAAUACUUGAGACUUGACUCGGACUUGGAAGUUAAAGACUCGGGACUUGACUUGACUUGAGACACGAUGACUUGAAUGGCUUGAGUGUUAAUCACAUCAUGUUUUCAGUUUGAAUAUAAAAUAUAUAAAUUAUUUUAAAAAAUAAGGUUGAUAACUGAACUGGAGCGCAGGCUGAGAGUAGCGUUGUCAUGACGGGAUCACGACACUACCAUCAGUCAUGCCCUCUCGUACCUUACGCACACCACGCCCACUUAGAUCAGAUAUCACAUCACACCAACAUGUCAGCCGGAGGGGUACCGAGGGUCAUCGGUUUUGGCUUCAAGAAUUUUUUGCAAGAUGGCAAAAGAAGAACAGCGCUUUGCAAGACAUGCAACAUACAAAUCUCGGAAAGCCAGACGACAACCUCCAAUUUCGUCCGUCAUCUGAAGAGCCAUUCUGCCCAUGGAUGCAAAGUCCAAUUUCUUGGAUAAGGUGACGCUGUUUUGGCGACAAUGUCACUCUUUAAGAUUCACUAUCAAAGUUAUAGACACAAUGUUUGCCUGGCCAUCACCCACAUUGUUUGCUUAAAUCAGAUGAACUUCUAGGAUUGAUUAAAGCAUAGAGGUAAUUAUUUAUUAAUAUUUCACAUAGCACUUAUUCUAUUCUGUGCAUGGUUUAGUUGAAAUAAUGGAUGUAUUACUAUGUUAUCUUUUACUUUGUUUUGUUGUAUUAGUUUCUUACUAUGGGUAAUAGAGGAAGCAGUGAGAUAACAGCAUCUCAAAGACACAACAUUGUGUCUCUAAGGAGUUACAGAGCUUUGCCUGAUCCUCUUCAAUUCAAUGAUGAAGCAAUGACCCCUGACCCCAGGUGAGGAUAAAUGUGUACUUGCAGAACACAAGCUUCUAGAGGGCACACAGGUCUGAAGUACAGGAUUUAGGUAAAGGGGUGCAGAGCCAGUGGUGGUUUUGUAGGCAAACAUCAAUGCCUUGAAUUUUAUGCAAGCAGCUAUUGAUAGCCAGUGCACAUUUAUAAACAGAGGUGUGAGAUGCAUUCUUUUUGGCUCAUUAAAAAUUAAUCUAGCUGCUGCGUUCUGGAUUAAUUUGAAAGAUUUGGAAGACCUGCCAAGAGAGCAUUGCAAUAGUCCAGCCUGGACAGAACAAGAGCUUGAACAAGGAUUUGUGAAGCAUGUUCCAAAAGAAAGUUCCUGAUCUUCUUGAUGCUGACAUGUUUCUGAAUGACAAAACCUAAUGAUGCCAUGUAGACAGAAAAGAGAAGUGGUCCAACAACUGAACCCUGAACACAACUCAUUUAAGUGUUUUUGCAAUGAAAGGAACAAGGGAAACUGGUCUGUAGUUCUCUAAAAGAGAUGGCUUAAGGGUGGGUUUCUUAAGUAGUGGGGUUAUACGAGCCUGUCGAAAAGCUGAGGGAAAAACACCAGUGUAAUGGUGUGAGUGAGUGCAGGAAAUGGCUUGAAGGAGAUGAGAAGGAAUAGGAUCCAGUGGACAAGUAGCAGGAUGAUUAGAAAGGAUGAGUUUGGAG